rnacentral:rRNA from 1 species
CUACGGGGUGCAGCAGUGGGGAAUAUUGCACAAUGGAGGAAACUCUGAUGCAGCAACGCCGCGUGGAGGAUGACACUUUUCGGAGCGUAAACUCCUUUUAUAUAGGAAGAAGAUGACGGUACUAUAUGAAUAAGCGCCGGCUAACUCCGUGCCAGCAGCCGCGGUAAUACGGAGGGCGCAAGCGUUACUCGGAAUCACUGGGCGUAAAGAGCGUGUAGGCGGAUUAAAAAGUCAGAAGUGAAAUCCUAUAGCUUAACUAUAGAACUGCUUCUGAAACUCUUAAUCUAGAAUAUGGGAGAGGUAGAUGGAAUUUCUGGUGUAGAGGUAAAAUCCGUAGAGAUCAGAAGGAAUACCGAUUGCGAAGGCGAUCUACUAGAACAUUAUUGACGCUGAGACGCGAAAGCGUGGGGAGCAAACAGGAUUAGAUACCCGAGUAGUC